rnacentral:tRNA from 1 species
GCUGAUAUGGCUCAGUUGGUAGAGCGCACCCUUGGUAAGGGUGAGGUCCCCAGUUCGACUCUGUGUAUCAGCACCA